UAAACGUGUGAAUUUCUGAUUGCAGUUAAACUAGGACCACGAUUUACAAACUAAAAGGGACAGUUUGGAAUGAGUAGCUUACCUCAAAACUCUGAAGCGACUCAGUUUCCACUGGAGCAAUCGACAAUUCAAACAUGACGUGCUUCACUGGUGGAGAGAUGGGCAGCUCAACCAUGAUGGGUUUCACUGGUGGAGAGAUGGGCAGCUCAACCACAACAGGCUUCACUGGUGGAGAGAUGGGCAGCUCAACAGCGAUGGGCUCCACUGGUGGAGAGAUAGGCAGCUCAACCACGAUGGGCUUCACUGGUGGAGAGAAGGGCAGCUCAACCAUGAUGGGUUUCACUGGUGGAGAGAUGGGCAGCUCAACCAUGAUGGGUUUCACUGGUGGAGAGAUGGGCAGAUCAACCUUGAUGGGUUUCACUGGUGUAGAGUUGGGCAGCUCCAUCACGAUGGGCUUCACUGGUGGAGAGAUGGGCAGCUCAACCACAAUGGGCUCCACUGGUGGAGAGAUGGGCCGUUCAAUCACAAUGGGAUUAGGUGGUGGGGAGAUGGGCAGCUCAACCACAAUGGGCUCCACUGGUGGAGAGAUGGGCAGCUCCACCACGAUUGGCUUCACUGGUCGAGAGAUGGGCUCCUCAACCACGAUGGACUCCACUGGAGGUGGAGGGAAUAAAUCCUGGGCCCUUUGACAUCUCUGAGUUGUAGGUGGUGGGGAAUAAUCCGAUAGGGAGGGAGGAGGAAGAGUAGUUCUGGCCUGUGGAACUGAAGUUUCCAUGUCUUUCUUUCUUUUUUUAUGACGCUGUGUCAGAGCCUUCAGUGGCUUAUGUUUUGUCAGUGGUUGGUCAAAUUGGAAAAGGACAUAAACAAAUCAAAUUGUAUUCGUCACAUACGCCGAAUACAAGUGUAGACCUUACCAUGAAAUGCAUACUCACAAGCCCUUAACCAACAAUGAAGUUUUAAGAAAUUAGGAAUCAAGAAAAUAUUUACUAAAUAAGCUAAAGUUUUCUACGAAGCAUAUGUAAACGUGUGAAUUGCUGAUUGUAGUUAAACUAGGACAAUGAUUUACAUUUUAAAGGGACAGUUUGGAGUGAGUCGCCUACCUCAAAUCUCUGAAGAGACUCAGCUUCCACUGGAGCGAUCGGCAGCUCAAACAUGAUGGGUUUCACUGGUGGAGAGAUGGGCAGCUCAACCACAACAGGCUUCACUGGUGGAGAGAUGGGCAGCUCAACCAUGAUGGGCUCCACUGGUGGAGAGAAGGGCCGUUCAACCACGACAGGCUUCACUGGUGGAGAGAUGGGCAGCUCAACCAUGAUGGGCUCCACUGGUGGAGAGAAGGGCCGUUCAACCACGACAGGCUUCACUGGUGGAGAGGUAGGCGGCUCAACCAUGAUGGGUUUCACUGGUGGAGAGAUGGGCAGCUCAACCAUGAUGGGCUUCAAUGGUGGAUAAAUGGGCAGCUCAACCACGAAGGGUUUCACUGCUGGAGAGUUGGACAGCUCCACCACGAUGGGCUUCACUGGUCGAGAGAUGGGCUCCUCAACCAAGAUUGGCUUCACUAGAGGAGAGAUCGUUGGCUCAACAACGAUGGGCUUCACUGGUGGAGAGAUGGGAAGCUCGACCACGAUGGGCUUCACGGGUGGAGAGACGGGCUGCUCAACCAUGAUAGGUUUCACUGGUGGAGAGAUGGGCAGCUCAACCACAAUGGGCUUCACUGGUGGAGAAAUGGGCAGCUCAACCACAACGGGCUUCAGUGGUGGAGGGAUCGGCGACUCAACCACAACAGGCUUCACUGGUGGAGAGAUGGGCAGCUCAACCACAACAGGCUUCACUGGUGGAGAGAUGGGCAGCUCAACCAUGAUGGGCUCCACUGGUGGAGAGAAGGGCCGUUCAACCACGACAGGCUUCACUGGUGGAGAGGUAGGCGGCUCAACCAUGAUGGGUUUCACUGGUGGAGAGAUGGGCAGCUCAACCAUGAUGGGCUUCACUGGUGGAUAAAUGGGCAGCUCAACCACGAAGGGUUUCACUGGUGGAGAGUUGGACAGCUCCACCACGAUGGGCUUCACUGGUCGAGAGAUGGGCUCCUCAACCAAGAUUGGCUUCAAUGGAGGAGAGAUCGGUGGCUCAACCACGAUGGGCUUCACUGGUGGAGAGAUGGGAAACUCGACCACGAUGGGCUUCACGGGUGGAGAGACGGGCUGCUCAACCACGAUAGGUUUCACUGGUGGAGAGAUGGGCAGCUCAACCACAACGGGCUUCAGUGGUGGAGGGAUCGGCGACUCAACCACGAUGGGCUUCGCUGGUGGAGAGAUGGGAAGCUCGACCACGAUGGGCUUCGCUGGUGGAGAGAUGGGCUAUAUAUAGUGGUAUAGAACAGAAGGUUAGUUAAAAAACAACACAAAUCAAUUACAAUGUAAUUGACGCAUGGCCUAAAAUAUACCUGUUUGCUUACUUAUGAAAAUGCAAACCAUAAUAAUCAUCCUCUCCCUCAUCAUCCAUCCUGACUCAUGCUCUCUCAUCUAAAGAAGAAACGUACCUGUGCCCUACUCUGUGUGCACAAAAGGGUAACACAGUACCACAUGAAGAACAUAGAUUGGUACUCCUGACACUUCUGCCAUGCAACCUCAAUCAUCUCCUCAAGAGUCCCAAUGCUACAGGAGAGGAAACACACCAGGUUGUUUAGAAUGGGUGGAAGGAGGCUUCACACCGUGGAUACGAAACAGUCUUUCGAUUUCAGAACUGAACUCAAUCUAGGUACUCUGGGUAAUACAGGUAAUCUGAAACUCCAUUGCAUUGGUCCAAUAUCUCAAUCAACUUCACUGUAAUUAUAGCACUCCAAAUCCCAACAUGAAUGUAUCUGGUUGACAGUGUAGCUGUGCAGAUGCCAUUGCUGUACUAAUAAACCAAGUACUUACUUUGACAGGGGACCAGGGAAUGCUGUGAGGACUCCAGGCUGCUCUGGUUGGAUCUGCUGAGGGAGAUCAGAGGAAGUAGGGAAGGGGUGAUGGGCAGGAGCAUCGACAAUCUGAGAAGAACCAGCCUCUAUUUCCCAGUUGGCCCCUUGACCAGGUUGAUGCUGGUGGUUGUAACAGUCCUUCCCGUUCUCAUACUUGUACGCAUACUCAUAUUUGUACUCAUUGUUGUUUAGGGACCACCUCUCUGUAAAAAGAAUAAGAGCAGAAGCUUGAUCCUCUCAU
rnacentral:lncRNA from 1 species